AGUUCGGAUUGCAGGCUGCAACCCGCCUGCAUGAAGUUGGAAUUGCUAGUAAUCGCGGAUCAGCAUGCCGCGGUGAAUACGUUCCCUGGCCUUGUACACACCGCCCGUCACACCAUGGGAGCCGGUAAUACCCGAAGUCAGUAGCCUAACCGCAAGGGGGGCGCUGCCGAAGGUAGGAUUGGCGACUGGGGUGAAGUCGUAACAAGGUACC
rnacentral:rRNA from 1 species